rnacentral:tRNA from 1 species
GAGCCCGUGGCUCAACGGUAGAGCGUUGGACUCAAAUACCAAAGGUCGCGGGAUCG